AACGAACGCUGGCGGCAGGCUUAACACAUGCAAGUCGAACGCAUCGCAAGAUGAGUGGCAGACGGGUGAGUAACGCGUGGGAAUCUACCCAGUUCUACGGAACAACAGUUGGAAACGACUGCUAAUACCGUAUACGCCCUACGGGGGAAAGAUUUAUCGGAAUUGGAUGAGCCCGCGUAAGAUUAGCUAGUUGGUGGGGUAAUGGCCUACCAAGGCGACGAUCUUUAGCUGGUCUGAGAGGAUGAUCAGCCACACUGGGACUGAGACACGGCCCAGACUCCUACGGGGGGCAGCAGUGGGGAAUAUUGGACAAUGGGGGCAAGCUUGAUCCAGCCAUGCCGCGUGAGGGAUGAAGGCCUUAGGGUUGUAAAGCUCUUUCACCGAUGAAGAUAAUGACGGUAGUCGGAGAAGAAGCCCCGGCUAACUUCGUGCCAGCAGCCGCCGUAACAC
rnacentral:rRNA from 1 species